GCGGAGGAAAAGAAACCAACAGGGAUUGCCUCAGUAACGGCGAGUGAAGCGGCAAAAGCUCAAAUUUUAAAGCUGGCAUCUUCGGUGUCCGCGUUGUAAUUUUGUGAGGCAUCUCCGGGUAGGGCGCCAGCCUAAGUUCCUUGGAACAGGACGUCACAGAGGGUGAGAAUCCCGUGCUUGGCUGGCUGUCCCCGCCCACGUGAGGCGUCUUCGACGAGUCGAGUUGUUUGGGAAUGCAGCUCAAAAUGGGUGGUAAAUUUCAUCUAAAGCUAAAUAUUGGUGGGAGACCGAUAGCGCACAAGUAGAGUGAUCGAAAGAUGAAAAGCACUUUGAAAAUAGAGUUAAAAAGUACGUGAAAUUGUUGAAAGGGAAGCGCUUGAGACCAGACUUCGGUAGGGGGUGAUCAGCCGUCCUUCUGGGCGGUGCACUUGCCCCCCUCCGGGCCAGCAUCGGUUGAGGCGGCGGGAUAAAGGUCCCGGGAACGUGGCUCCUUCACGGGAGUGUUAUAGCCCGGGUGAAUGCCGCCAGCCUCGACCGAGGACCGCGCCCGCAAGGGUUAGGAUGCUUGGCAUAAUGGUCUUCAGCGACCCGUCU
rnacentral:rRNA from 1 species